GAAAGAGAACAAAAACGUGAUGAGAUUGCUAGGAUUCGCAACUGAUCUGUUUCUUCAGCAGAGAUCUAUUCUCAAACUAAAACGCCGCCGUCGUCUGGCGGAGGAAGAAGAGGCGGCUGUUCUUCUGAUGGCUCUCUCCUCCGGCUUCCUGUACGCUUAAGCAAAAAUGCACCAUUAACAAACCAGAACGAACGAAAGAAAAAAAGAUCUGAUGAUAUUCUGAAUUUCUGAUCUCAUCAUAUCGUCUGUGAAUCGCCAUCUCUCUACUAAUAAAUAAUAAUCAUAAUUCUUAAUUCAUAAUAAAAGUAGAUUCUUUCUUUCUUUCUGAUCUCUCUACAGAAUCAAAUUGUUUCUUUGUUUCUUUGUUCAUGGAAAUAAAUUCUCCUUCCUAGUUCCUUUUUCCUGUUCUUACCUCUGUGAUUUCUUUCCAUUCCUGCUAUUGGAAUCUGCUCCAAUCAGAACCAUCAAUGCUUGGGAAACCGGCAUCGGUGUCUGACAGAGUCUGUAUUUGGGUUCAGACAGUUGAAC
rnacentral:lncRNA from 1 species